GUAGUCUCGCACAGAUGCAUAUCAAUAAGCGGAGGAAAAGAAACUAACAAGGAUUCCCCUAGUAACGGCGAGUGAAGCGGGAAGAGCUCAAAUUUGAAAUCUUAAAGGGUUUCCCUUACGAAUUGUAGUUUAAAGAAGUGUUUUCUGUUGAGGUUUUGGUAAAAGUUCUUUGGAAUAGGACAUCAUAGAGGGUGAGAAUCCCGUAUUUGACCUUUACUUUCAACUUUGUGAUACACUUUCAAAGAGUCGGAUUGUUUGGGAAUGCAGUCCAAAAUGGGUGGUAAAUUUCAUCUAAAGCUAAAUAUUGGCGAGAGACCGAUAGCGAACAAGUACCGUGAGGGGAAGAUGAAAAGAACUUUGAAAAGAGAGUUAAACAGUACGUGAAAUUGUCAAAAGGGAAGCGUUUGACACCAGUGUUGUUUUUCUGAAAAUCAAUUAAAGAACUGUUUAUGCUAAGUUGUUUAGACUUUAUCAGCUAACUGUUUAGUUUUGAGCUUUUCUUUAAUGCACUUUUCAGUUAACAAGUCAACAUCAAUUUCUUUUGCUGUAAAAAAGCUUGAGGAAGGUGGCUUGAGAUUCGUCUUAAGUGUUUAUAGCCUCUUGCCUAUGCAGUCGGAGAGAUUGAGGUCUGCAGCGUAGAUCCUUCGGGGCUAAAUGCAUUUGUGCUAAGUUAUAGCAUUUUCAUAGACAACUUGUUGACUAUGAUUUGUCUUGUAGCUUACUCGCUUAUGUUAUUUUACCUACGCUUAGGAUGUUGAUCUGUAGUGCGUGCGC
rnacentral:rRNA from 1 species